GUGGGGAAUUUUGGACAAUGGGCGCAAGCCUGAUCCAGCAAUGCCGCGUGCAGGAAGAAGGCCUUCGGGUUGUAAACUGCUUUUGUACGGAACGAAAAGGCUCUGGUUAAUACCUGGGGCUCAUGACGGUACCGUAAGAAUAAGCACCGGCUAACUACGUGCCAGCAGCCGCGGUAAUACGUAGGGUGCAAGCGUUAAUCGGAAUUACUGGGCGUAAAGCGUGCGCAGGCGGUUUUGUAAGACAGGCGUGAAAUCCCCGGGCUCAACCUGGGAAUUGCGCUUGUGACUGCAAGGCUGGAGUGCGGCAGAGGGGGAUGGAAUUCCGCGUGUAGCAGUGAAAUGCGUAGAUAUGCGGAGGAACACCGAUGGCGAAGGCAAUCCCCUGGGCCUGCACUGACGCUCAUGCACGAAAGCGUGGGGAGCAAACAGGAUUAGAAACCCCAGUAGUCC
rnacentral:rRNA from 1 species